ensembl:lncRNA
GCAACAAGACUCAGGAAAUGGAGUUUUGGGGCUUCUAGGAAGGUACGUUAUGGGAAGUUAUAUAUUUAGGAGAAUCUAAUGACUGACAAGGGUCAGUCCUAAAGGAACUCAGUCCUGGAAGGACUGAUGCUGAAGCUGAAGCUCCAAUACUUUAGCCACCUGAUGGGAAGAACUGACUUAUUGGAAAAGACCCUGAUGCUGGGAAAGAUUGAAGGCGCAAGGAGAAGGGGAUGACAGAGGAUGAGAUGGUUGGAUGGCAUCACUGACUUGAUGGACAUAAGUUUGAGUAAACUCCGGGAGAUGGUGAAGGACAGGGAAGCCUGGCGUGCUGCAGUCCAUGGGGUUGCAAAGAAUCGGACACGACUGAGCCAUUGAACAACAGGAGGCCAGAGUGAACCGUUCAGGGGUGCUAUGGAGAUCCAGGAUUUCAGGCAUCCUCCACGUUACGGCUCCAUCAUCCUCAGUGUGUGACUUUGUACUCAUGGUCCAAUGUAGCUACAUGGACUCCAGCCCUCAUGCCUGCAUUCCAAUCAACAGGAAGAGAAGAGAGAACAGCUCACACUUACUCUUCAGAAAGUCUCUUGAGAGUUCCUUGGACAGCAAGGAGAUCAGACCAGUCGAUCCUAAAGGAGAUCAGUCCUGAAUAUUCACUGAAAGGACUGAUGCUGAAGCUGAAGCUCCAAUACUUUGGCCACCUGAUGGGAAGAGAUGACUCAGUGACCCUGAUGCUGGGAAAGAUUGAGGGUGGGAGGAGAAGGGGAUGACAGAGGAUGAGAUGGCUGGGUGGCAUCACCGACUCAAUGGACAUGAGUUUGAGCAAUCCCAGGAGAUGGUGAAGGACAGGGAAGCCUGGAGUGCUGCAGUCCAUGGGGUUGCAAAGAGCCAGACAUGACUGAGUGACUGACACUUUCACUUUCACUCAUAACGUAGAGUUCACCACGUUAACCAGAGUGGACAAGUCAGGGCCAUUUAGUGCAUUAGCAAUUUUUUGCAAACAGCACCUCUGUCUCGUUUCAGAACCUUCUCAUGCCCUCAGAAGGAGACUCGGACCCCAUGAGCUCUCAUGCCACCUCCCCCAGCCCCCUCACCAUGAGCCCAAUUUCUGUCUGUGCAUUGGCCUGUUCUUGACAUUUCCUAUCGAUGUCAUCACACACUGCAUGUGUUCUUCUGUGUCUGCUUCUUACACUCUUUCUGCUGUCAGCUUUUCAAAUCACAGGAAACCAACACCCCAUUCUCAGAAGAUUCUAGAAGGUUCUAGGUUUGCAAAAUGGAGAGGUGGUCCCCAAUCUGGAUGGGGGUAUUCCACGUCCGAUCCAGGGAGCAAGGCAUCUCAUCACCUUUGAAAAAUAAGUGUUUGUGCUUUCCCCAUGAUAAUGCUUUUUUUUUUUUUUCCCAGUUAAAUGAUCCCCAUCCCAUGAUAUCAUUUGCUAAGUUCCUUCAGUCAUGUCUGACUCUUUGCGACCCCAUGGACUGUAGCCCACCAGGCACCUCUGUCCAUGGGAUUGUCCAGGCAAGAAUACUGGAGUGGGCUGCCAUUUCCUGCUCCAGGAGAUCCUCCAGACUCAGGGAUUGAACCCAUGCCUCCUACAUCUCCUGCACUGCAGGCGGAUUCUUUACUGCUAAGCCAUUGGGGAAGUCCUGUUAAAUGGAAACAAUUUCGAAUCACUUCUGACAGUAUUCUGUGAAAGUAACCACUUGUCUUUUUUUAAAUCAUUGCACUUAUUUUUCUGAUUGAUUCAUUUCCAAAUGUCGCUGGACCGGCUUGAACCUCCUUGAAU